UGGUGGGGCGCGGCAUACGGCUCAGUAACACGUGGCUAACCUACCCUUAGGACGGGGACAACCCCGGGAAACUGGGGCUAAUACCCGAUAGGUGAGGAGGCCUGGAAUGGUUCCUCGCUGAAAAAUGUUGAGACCAUGCUCCCAACAUUGCCUAAGGAUGGGGCCGCGGCCGAUCAGGUUGUUGGUGGGGUAACGGCCCACCAAGCCUAUAACCGGUACGGGCCCUGAGAGGGGGAGCCCGGAGAUGGGUACUGAGACAAGGGCCCAGGUCCUACGGGGUGCAGCAUGCGCGAAACCUCCGCAAUGCGCGAAAGCGUGACGGGGUUACCCCGAGUGCCGUCCGCUGAGGAUGGCUUUUCUUCGGUGUAAGGGGCCGAAGGAAUAAGGGGAGGGCAAGUCUGGUGUCAGCCGCCGCGGUAAUACCAGCUCCCCGAGUGGUGGGGGUGAUUAUUGGGCUUAAAGCGUCCGUAGCCGGCCUGACAAGUCUUUCGUUAAAUCCAGCGAUCCAAUCGCUGGGCCGCGGGAGAUACUGUCAGGCUAGGGGAUGGGAGAGGCCGAUGGUAUUCCUGGGGUAGGGGUGAAAUCCUAUAAUCCCAGGAGGACCACCAGUGGCGAAGGCGGUCGGCCAGAACAGGCUCGACGGUGAGGGACGAAAGCUGGGGGAGCGAACCGGAUUAGAUACCCGGGUAGUCCCAGCUGUAAACGAUGCGGGCUAGGUGUCGGGGCGGCCACGAGCCGCUUCGGUGCCGCAGGGAAGCCAUUAAGCCCGCCGCCUGGGAAGUACGGCCGCAAGGCUGAAACUUAAAGGAAUUGGCGGGGGAGCACCACAAGGGGUGAAGCUUGCGGUUCAAUUGGAGUCAACGCCGGGAACCUUACCGGGGGCGACAGCAGGAUGAGGGCCAGAUUGAAGGUCUUGCUGGACGAGCUGAGAGGAGGUGCAUGGCCGUCGCCAGUUCGUGCCGUGAGGUGUCCUGUCAAGUCAGGCAACGAUCGAGACCCGCACCCCUAGUUGCCAUCGGAUCCCGUUGGAAUCCGAGCACACUAGAGGGACCGCCACCGAUAAGGUGGAGGAAGGAGCGGGCCACGGCAGGUCAGUAUGCCCCGAAUCCCCCGGGCCACACGCGAGCUGCAAUGGCAGGGACAAUGGGCUCCAACCCCGAGAGGGGAAGGUAAUCCCCAAACCCUGCCUCAGUUGGGAUCGGGGGCUGCAACCCGCCCCCGUGAACAUGGAAUCCCUAGUA
rnacentral:rRNA from 1 species